AAGGGAGACCUAAUUCCGGUAGGAGACGAAAAAAAAGUAGUCCCUACCAAGAAUCAAUCCCAAAAGGUCGAAGCGAGGCAAGAUUGGCUUUCAAACUAGGUUCUGGGUUCAAACAAGACCUGAAUCAGGAACAAGGGUUAUUAGCUCAGGUGGUUAGAGCGCACCCCUGAUAAGGGUGAGGUCCCUGGUUCGAGUCCAGGAUGGCCCACCUGCACAGGUGGCAAAAACAAAGAAGCGAGGAAUCAGCACCUUAUCUUACUCAUAUAGUAAGAGAGAAUGCUGGCUCUGAGUAAAGAGUCCAGAGGAACCUUGAAAACUGCAUAGAGCUAGGUGAAAAAGCCAAAAAAGAAGACCGCAA
rnacentral:tRNA from 1 species